GUAAUUCCAGCUCCAAUAGCGUAUAUUAAACUUGUUGCAGUUAAAAAGCUCGUAGUUGUAUUUUUGCUUGGCGGUUUGUUGCCUUAGUGGCUUGAUUCCGGUUGGCUUUUGGCUUUUUGCCUUAUUACUUUGAGAAAAUUAGAGUGUUUCAAGCAGACUUUUGUCUUGAAUACUGUAGCAUGGAAUAAUAGAGUAGGACUUUGGUUCUAUUUUGUUGGUUUGGGAACCUUGGUAAUGGUUAAUAGGAACGGUUGGGGGCAUUCGUAUUUAAC
rnacentral:rRNA from 1 species